AGUCAGAUGGACCAGGAACAACCUGGAGGUGACUGAGGGAGUGACCGUGGGACUAUACACUCCCAACAGGUUCUGGGAACCAAAACUGAGUGGGUCCAGUGCUAGUCCUGCUGUAUUCUCUGGAGUGGGCCUGACUCAGGGGCUGCUGUGGGUGGCUACUGGAACAUUCCUCCUCAUCAAUGGAAGCCAGUGCAUCUGAGUCAUAGACUACAACGCUGAAGUGAGAGCAGAACAUGGACGUGGUUGUGCGCCAUAACCACAGAGGACACCAGGAGUUUGCUGUCCAGGCCGAGCACUUGAAACUGCCGUACCUAGGACUUAGACUGAAAGCUCAGGGCAUUCACAAUAAGUACCUCUUCAAAGACAACAUCCCAGAAUACCCAAGGCCAGAGUUCUGGGUUUCCCAGCUCAGACACGACACGAAUGAAGGUGGGCUAUUUGGCAUAGCCGUCGAAAGCGAAGGGGGGUUCUGUGCUAGGGACGGAGAAGAGGGGCCAGAGGACCCAGAAGAGGGGCCAGAGGGUUUGGACCUGCUGUGGUGGAGCUUGUCUUUGGGAGCAGAGGAGAUGGCCUUGGCUGAACAACGUCUGCUCCAGACCAGGUACCCUGACAGGACAGAGGAGCAGGCCAGGGAGCAGAAAUCCUUCCUGCAGAGGUUCGCCACCUCACCUGCCUUCCUGAACACCUCUCGGCUGGGCUCCUACCGAUUCACCUUCCCCCUGGAGGAGCUGCUUAAGAGAUACCGGGAACAGCUAUGCGUUGGACACGAGCCAAUCCUGCGUGUGUAUGAGACAGUCCUGUACAAACAGGUGGUGAUGUACUCAGUGCUAGUCCACAGUCACUUCAACAACGACCUCUUUGAGAAGAGGACAAUGACGAUGGAGUCUGCGCUUACAGAGAUGGACAAAUCAUUUGGAGACCCGAGGCCAUGUGUGAGACACACAGCUUCAAACUGGUGCCAAAGCCCUACCAGAACCAGGAUGUAG
rnacentral:lncRNA from 1 species